AAUGAACGUUGGCGGCAUGGAUUAGGCAUGCAAGUCGAGCGAGAAGUGUAGCAAUACACGGAAAGCGGCGGAAGGGAGAGUAAUACGUGGGAAUCUGCCCUUAGACCUGGGAUAGCAGCGGGAAACUGCUGGUAAUACCAGAUAAUGUCUAUGGACCAAAGGUGUGAUUCCGUCUAGGGAUGAGCCCACGUCCUAUUAGCUAGUUGGUAGGGUAAUGGCCUACCAGGGCGAUGAUGGGUAGCGGGUGUGAGAGCAUGACCCGCCUCACUGGGACUGAGACACUGCCCCGACACCUACGGGUGGCUGUAGGCGAGAAUCUUCGGCAAUGGGCGCAAGCCUGACCGAGCGAUGCCGCGUGCGGGAUGAAGGCCUUCGGGUUGUAAACCGCUGUCGAGGGGGAGCAACUUCCAUAGAGUUAUCUUUAUGGAUUGAGUGAUCCCUGGAGGAAGGACGGGCUAAGUUCGUGCCAGCAGCCGCCGUAAAAC
rnacentral:rRNA from 1 species